rnacentral:rRNA from 1 species
GACGAACGCUGGCGGCGUGCUUAAUACAUGCAAGUCAACUGAACUUGAAGUAGCAAUAUUUCAAGGGAGGUGGCGCACGGGUGAGUAACACGUAGGUAAUCUGCCUUUAGGUCUGACAUAAUUCCGCGAAAGCGGGACUAACUUCAGAUGAUGCAGCGGCUCGACAUCGAGACAGUUGUUAAAUCUUCGGAGCCUAAAGAUGAGCCUGCGUCUGAUUAGGUAGUUGGCGGAGUAAAAGCCCACCAAGCCUGCGAUCAGUAGCUGGUCUGAGAGGAUGAUCAGCCACACUGGAACUGAGACACGGUCCAGACUCCUACGGGAGGCAGCAGUAAGGAAUAUUGCUCAAUGGCCGAAAGGCUGAAGCAGCAACGCCGCGUGGAGGAUGAAAUACUUUUGUAUGUAAACUCCUGUAAGAAGGGAAAAUAUUUCGAUUUAUCGGAAUUGAUUGUACCUUCAGAGUAAGCACCGGCUAACUACG